CCGCGCGGUAAACCAGCUCUUCAAGUGGUCGGGAUAAUUAUUGGGCUUAAAGUGUCCGUAGCCGGUUUAGUAAGUUCCUGGUAAAACCGGGCAGCUUAACUGUCCGUAUGCUAGGAAUACUGCUAUGCUAGAGGGCGGGAGAGGUCUGAGGUACUACAGGGGUAGGGGUGAAAUCUUAUAAUCCUUGUAGGACCACCAGUGGCGAAAGCGUCAGACUGGAACGCGCCUGACGGUGAGGGACGAAAGCCAGGGGAGCGAACCGGAUUAGAUACCCGGGUAGUCCUGGCCGUAAACGAUGCAUACUAGGCAAUGGUGCGGCCAUGAGCCGCAUCAGUACCGUAGGGAAACCGUUAAGUGUGCCGCCUGGGAAGUACGGUCGCAAGGCUAAAACUUAAAGGAAUUGGCGGGGGAGCACCACAAGGGGUGAAGCCUGCGGUUCAAUUGGACUCAACGCCGGGAAACUUACCAGGGGAGACAGCAGAAUGACAGUCAGGUUGACGACCUUACUCGACGAGCUGAGAGGAGGUGCAUGGCCGUCGCCAGUUCGUGCUGUGAGGUAUCCUGUUAAGUCAGGCAACGAACGAGAUCCGCGCCUUUAUUUGCCAUCAAGAAGUCACGACUUCGUUGGGAACACUAAAGGGACCGCCGUCGAUAAGACGGAGGAAGGAGCGGGCAAAGGCAGGUCAGUAUGCCCCGAAACCCCUGGGCUACACGCGGGCUGCAAUGGUGCGAACAAUGGGCUGUAACUCCGAAAGGAGAAACCAAUCCCGAAAUCGCAUCUCAGUGGGGAUUGUCGACUGUAACUCGUUGACAUGAACGUGGAAUCCCUAGUAAUCGCGUGUCACCAUCGCGCGGUGAAUACGUCUCUGCUCCUUGCA
rnacentral:rRNA from 1 species